rnacentral:rRNA from 1 species
CGAACGAGACCUUCGGGUCUAGUGGCGCACGGGUGCGUAACGCGUGGGAAUCUGCCCUUAGGUACGGAAUAACUCAGAGAAAUUUGUGCUAAUACCGUAUGAUGUCGAAAGACCAAAGAUUUAUCGCCUAAGGAUGAGCCCGCGUAAGAUUAGCUAGUUGGUGGGGUAAAGGCUCACCAAGGCGACGAUCCUUAGCUGGUCUGAGAGGAUGAUCAGCCACACUGGGACUGAGACACGGCCCAGACUCCUACGGGAGGCAGCAGUGGGGAAUAUUGGACAAUGGGCGAAAGCCUGAUCCAGCAAUGCCGCGUUCGUU